rnacentral:tRNA from 1 species
GGCUGUGUACUUUAUCAAAAAGGUCUAGCUUGCACCUAGCCAUAGAGACCCCAUACUCCACAGCCC